rnacentral:rRNA from 1 species
UACGGCUCAGUAACACGUGGAUAACCUACCCUUAGGACCGGGAUAACCYGGGAAACUGGGGCUAAUMCUGGAUAGAUGAUUUUUCCUGGAAUGGGUUUUUGUUUAAAUGUUUUUUCGCCUAAGGAUGGGUCUGCGGCAGAUUAGGUAGUUGGUUAGGUAAUGGCUUACCAAGCCUAUGAUCUGUACGGGUUGUGAGAGCAAGAGCCCGGAGAUGGAACCUGAGACAAGGUUUCCAGGCCCUACGGGGCGCAGCAGGCGCGAAACCUCCGCAAUGUGAGAAAUCGCGACGGGGGGAUCCCAAGUGCCAUUCUUAACGGGAUGRCAAUUMUUAAGUGUAAAAAGCUUUUGGAAUAAGAGCUGGGCAAGACCGGUGCCAGCCGCCGCGGUAACACCGGCAGCUCUAGUGGUAGCUGUUUUUAUUGGGCCUAAAGCGUUCGUAGCCGGUUUGAUAAGUCACUGGUGAAAUCCUGUAGCUUAACUGUGGGAAUUGCUGGUGAUACUGUUGAACUUGAGGUCGGGAGAGGUUAGCGGUACUCCCAGGGUAGAGGUGAAAUUCUGUAAUCCUGGGAGGACCACCUGUGGCGAAGGCGGCUAACUGGAACGAACCUGACGGUGAGGGACGAGAGCUAGGGGCGCGAUCCGGUUUAGAUACCCGGGUAGUCCUAGCCGUAAACGAUCCGGCCCCUUUUUGGAUGGCUUUGAGCCGCUCCGGUGCCGAAGGGAAGCUGUUAAGUCCGCCGCCUKGGAA